UACCGGCGGCUCGAGUGGUGGCCACUAUUACUGGGCUUAAAGCGUCCGUAGCUGGAUUGUUAAGUCUCUUGGGAAAUCUACCGGCUUAACCGAUAGGCGUUCAAGGGGUACUGGCAAUCUAGGGACCGGGAGAGGUGAGAGGUACUCCAGGGGUAGGAGUGAAAUCCUGUAAUCCUUGGGGGACCACCUGUGGCGAAGGCGUCUCACCAGAACGGCUCCGACAGUGAGGGACGAAAGCUGGGGGAGCAAACCGG
rnacentral:rRNA from 1 species